AGAGUUUGAUCCUGGCUCAGGACGAACGCUGGCGGCGUGCCUAACACAUGCAAGUCGAGCGGGACGGGGGCAACCCCGUUCAGCGGCGGACGGGUGAGUAACGCGUGAAGAAUCUGUCCCAGGCAGGGGGAUAACAGAUGGAAACAUCUGCUAAUACCGCAUAAGACCACGAGACCGCAUGGUCUUGAGGUCAAAGGAGCAAUCCGGGCUGGGGUGACUUCGCGUCUGAUUAGCUAGUUGGUGGGGUAACGGCCCACCAAGGCGACGAUCAGUAGCCGACCUGAGAGGGUGAUCGGCCACACUGGAACUGAGAGACGGUCCAGACUCCUACGGGAGGCAGCAGUGGGAAUAUUGGGCAAUGGGCGAAAGCCUGACCCAGCAACGCCGCGUGAGGGAAGAAGGUUUUCGGAUUGUAAACCUCUGUCCUCAGGGAAGAAAGAAAUGACGGUACCUGAGGAGGAAGCCCCGGCUAACUACGUGCCAGCAGCCGCGGUAAUACGUAGGGGGCGAGCGUUGUCCGGAAUGACUGGGCGUAAAGGGCGCGUAGGCGGCCGUACAAGUCUCACGUGAAAGUCCUGCUUUCAAGGUGGGAAUUGCGUGGGAAACUGUAUGGCUUGAGUGCGGAAGAGGCAAGUGGAAUUCCCAGUGUAGCGGUGAAAUGCGUAGAGAUUGGGAGGAACACCAGUGGCGAAGGCGACUUGCUGGGCCGUAACUGACGCUGAGGCGCGAAAGCGUGGGGAGCGAACAGGAUUAGAUACCCUGGUAGUCCACGCGGUAACCGAUGAGUGCUAGGUGUAGGGGGUAUCGACCCCUCCUGUGCCGCAGUAAACACAAUAAGCACUCCGCCUGGGGAGUACGGCCGCAAGGUUGAAACUCAAAGGAAUUGACGGGGGCCCGCACAAGCAGCGGAGCAUGUGGUUUAAUUCGACGCAACGCGAAGAACCUUACCAGGUCUUGACAUCGAUCUAAUCUCCUAGAGAUAGGAGGUCCCUUCGGGGGAGAGAAGACAGGUGGUGCAUGGUUGUCGUCAGCUCGUGUCGUGAGAUGUUGGGUUAAGUCCCGCAACGAGCGCAACCCUUAUGAUCAGUUACUAACGGGUAAAGCCGAGGACUCUGAUGAGACUGCCGGGGACAACUCGGAGGAAGGUGGGGACGACGUCAAAUCAUCAUGCCCCUUAUGACCUGGGCUACACACGUGCUACAAUGGCGUUAACAAAGAGGCGCGAACCCGCAAGGGGGAGCGGAUCUCAAAAAAGACGUCUCAGUUCAGAUUGUGGGCUGCAACCCGCCCACAUGAAGUCGGAGUUGCUAGUAAUCGCGGAUCAGCAUGCCGCGGUGAAUACGUUCCCGGGCCUUGUACACACCGCCCGUCACACCAUGGGAGUUGGGAGCACCCGAAGUCGGUGAGGCAACCGCAAGGGGCCAGCCGCCGAAGGUGAGACCGAUGACUGGGGUGAAGUCGUAACAAGGUA
rnacentral:rRNA from 1 species